CGCUGCCUAGCAUAGAAACUUUCCUCCGGCAGUGUUUUCAUCCUAUCUGAGAGGUCCACAUGACUGAAGUCUUUUUGAGAAGAAGAGAUUCAAGAACAAGCAAAGUACGCUUUAGCAAACCGGUGGAAGGGAUUUAUAUGCAAGAAGACUAUUGCAUAAAAAGAAGGACUGACGUCACACAUAGGGCUGCCUUGGAUAGUGCCUGAGGAAACACACCGAGCUUGUGGCGCUGAGCGGUUUGCAUCUUUUUUAUGAACUGAUAUCUGGGACUGUUGUAAGGCUUUGUUUUGCACAAAUAGUUUUUUCUCACUCAGUUGCUCUGUCUGACGCAUUUAAUUACACAUGCUCUUUUGAGGAAAACAACCCAGAUAGUUCAUUGACUGUUAUGUAUGCUCUGAAUAUUUCCCCUUGUUUAGUGCAACCACAACCACAACAGUUGCAGUCUCUAUAAUGCAGCAACUCAACAGAAAAACUCAGGCAGGUGGAGAACGGCUAAAGACACAGAGGGUGACUACGGAAAAUGGGAACUGUGAGGCAUGUACUACCUGGGACUGAUGCCAAAUGCUGACAAAAGGGUUCACUGCAUAGCUCUGAAAGGAGAUUUUACUCAUGUGCUGUGCAAUGCUCAAGGAACUGUUGGGCAAACUCAUGAUAAAUCUGUCAAACUUGUUACAGGGCACAAUUUACAGCGAAGUAGAAAGAUGUGGAAGUGGCUCCUUGGGUCAUCUCUAACCCGUCUUUUUGCUCGCUGAAACCAUGACCUCAUUUUGCAUAGGUGACCAGUAUCCGGAUCUGUUUAAAAACAUACAUCCAGACUCUGCUUGGCACAAAGACAAUGUUCAUUCUCUGGCACCAAAUGUUGGAAUAAGAUGCAACCUUAGCCCGCACAAUGCCCCUCGAUUUCUGCUGAUCAACACGGACCUCCGCCAACAUGUCAUGAGUAUAUUUGUUUGUUUGUUUCGCUGCUUGGCGCAUGGACAUUCCCUCAUAAUUUCUUUGAUUUGACAAUACACUACUGGCUAUGCUUACAAUA